rnacentral:rRNA from 1 species
GUCUAUGGCUAUACCACCCUGAAUGUGCCCGAUCUCAUUUGAUCUCGGAAGUUAAGCAGGGUUGGGCCUGGUUAGUACUCGGAUGGGAAAACUCCUGGGCAUACUGGGUGCUGCAGGCU